ACGAACGCUGGCGGCGUGGAUAAGACAUGCAAGUCGAACGAGAGAAUUGCUAGCUUGCUAAUAAUUCUCUAGUGGCGCACGGGUGAGUAACACGUGAGUAACCUGCCCCCGAGAGCGGGAUAGCCCUGGGAAACUGGGAUUAAUACCGCAUAGUAUCGAAAGAUUAAAGCAGCAAUGCGCUUGGGGAUGGGCUCGCGGCCUAUUAGUUAGUUGGUGAGGUAACGGCUCACCAAGGCGAUGACGGGUAGCCGGUCUGAGAGGAUGUCCGGCCACACUGGAACUGAGACACGGUCCAGACACCUACGGGUGGCAGCAGUCGAGAAUCAUUCACAAUGGGGGAAACCCUGAUGGUGCGACGCCGCGUGGGGGAAUGAAGGUCUUCGGAUUGUAAACCCCUGUCAUGUGGGAGCAAAUUAAAAAGAUAGUACCACAAGAGGAAGAGACGGCUAACUCUGUGCCAGCAGCCGCGGUAAUACAGAGGUCUCAAGCGUUGUUCGGAAUCACUGGGCGUAAAGCGUGCGUAGGCUGUUUCGUAAGUCGUGUGUGAAAGGCGCGGGCUCAACCCGCGGACGGCACAUGAUACUGCGAGACUAGAGUAAUGGAGGGGGAACCGGAAUUCUCGGUGUAGCAGUGAAAUGCGUAGAUAUCGAGAGGAACACUCGUGGCGAAGGCGGGUUCCUGGACAUUAACUGACGCUGAGGCACGAAGGCCAGGGGAGCGAAAGGGAUUAGAUACCCCUGUAGUCCUGGCAGUAAACGGUGCACGCUUGGUGUGCGGGGAAUCGACCCCCUGCGUGCCGGAGCUAACGCGUUAAGCGUGCCGCCUGGGGAGUACGGUCGCAAGAUUAAAACUCAAAGAAAUUGACGGGGACCCGCACAAGCGGUGGAGUAUGUGGCUUAAUUCGAUGCAACGCGAAGAACCUUACCUGGGCUUGACAUGUAAUGAACAACAUGUGAAAGCAUGCGACUCUUCGGAGGCGUUACACAGGUGCUGCAUGGCCGUCGUCAGCUCGUGUCGUGAGAUGUUUGGUUAAGUCCAGCAACGAGCGCAACCCCUGUUGCCAGUUACCAGCACGUGAAGGUGGGGACUCUGGCGAGACUGCCCAGAUCAACUGGGAGGAAGGUGGGGACGACGUCAGGUCAGUAUGGCCCUUAUGCCCAGGGCUGCACACGUACUACAAUGCCCAGUACAGAGGGGGCCGAAGCCGCGAGGCGGAGGAAAUCCUAAAAACUGGGCCCAGUUCGGACUGUAGGCUGCAACCCGCCUACACGAAGCCGGAAUCGCUAGUAAUGGCGCAUCAGCUACGGCGCCGUGAAUACGUUCCCGGGUCUUGUACACACCGCCCGUCACAUCAUGGAGGCCGGUCGCACCCGAAGUAUCUGAAGCCAACCGCAAGGAGGCAGGGUCCUAAGGUGAGACUGGUAACUGGGAUG
rnacentral:rRNA from 1 species